UAGGGAAUCUUCCACAAUGGACGCAAGUCUGAUGGAGCAACGCCGCGUGAGUGAAGAAGGUCUUCGGAUCGUAAAACUCUGUUGUUAAAGAAGAACACGUAUGAGAGUAACUGUUCAUACGUUGACGGUAUUUAACCAGAAAGUCACGGCUAACUACGUGCCUG
rnacentral:rRNA from 1 species